rnacentral:lncRNA from 10 species
AUGUGUCUUUAUAGCAGCAUGAUUUAUAGUCCUUUGGGUAUAUAUCCAGUAAUGGGCUGGCUGGGUCAAAUGGUAUUUCUAGUUCUAGAUCCCUGAGGAAUCGCCACACUGACUUCCACAAUGGUUGAACUAGUUUACAGUCCCACCAACAGUGUAAAAGUGUUCCUAUUUCUCCACAUCCUCUCCAGCACCUGUUGUUUCCUGACUUUUUA